AAAAAUUUAGUUAACCUAUAACAUUAGUUUGUCAAACUAAAAUCAUUCUCAGAAUAAUUUUUA
rnacentral:tRNA from 1 species